rnacentral:rRNA from 1 species
GACGAACGCUGGCGGCGUGCUUAACACAUGCAAGUCGAACGAUGAAGAAGAGACACGCGAACUUCGGUUCAAAUUUCACUUCGGAUUAGUGGCAGACGGGUGAGUAACGCGUGAGCAACCUACCUCUUACAAAGGGAUAGCCUCGGGAAACCGUGAUUAAUACCAUAUGACACAUUCAUAAGGCAUCUUAAGAAUGUUAAAGCUACGGCGGUAAGGGAUGGGCUCGCGUCCCAUUAGCUAGUUGGUGAGGUAACGGCCCACCAAGGCGACGAUGGGUAACCGGCCUGAGAGGGUGAACGGUCACAUUGGAACUGAGACACGGUCCAAACUCCUACGGGAGGCAGCAGUGGGGAAUAUUGCACAAUGGAGGGAACUCUGAUGCAGCGACGCCGCGUGAGCGAUGAAGGAAUUCGUUUCGUAAAGCUCUGUUCUAUGGGAAGAAAAGGACUGUACCAUAGGAGAAAGCCCCGGCUAAAUACGUG